ensembl:misc_RNA Metazoa_SRP Metazoan signal recognition particle RNA
GCUGGGCGUGGUGGCGUGCGUCUGUAAUCCCAGCUACUUGGGAGGCUGAGGCAGGAGAAUUGCUUGAACCCAGGAGGCAGAGGUUGCAGUGAGUCGAGAUUGUGCCACUGCACUCCAGCCUGGGUGACAGAGCGAGACUCUGUCUCAA